rnacentral:rRNA from 1 species
AUUGAACGCUGGCGGCAUGCCUUACACAUGCAAGUCGAACGGUAACAGGUCUUCGGAUGCUGACGAGUGGCGAACGGGUAAGUAAUACAUCGGAACGUGCCUAGUAGUGGGGGAUAACUACUCGAAAGAGUGGCUAAUACCACAUGAGAUCUACGGAUGAAAGCAGGGGAUCGCAAGACCUUGUGCUACUAGAGCGGCCGAUGGCAGAUUAGGUAGUUGGUGGGAUAAAAGCUUACCAAGCCGACGAUCUGUAGCUGGUCUGAGAGGACGAUCAGCCACACUGGGACUGAGACACGGCCCAGACUCCUACGGGAGGCAGCAGUGGGGAAUUUUGGACAAUGGGCGAAAGCCUGAUCCAGCAAUGCUGCGUGCAGGAUGAAGGCCUUCGGGUUGUAAACUGCUUUUGUACGGAACGAAAAGCCCCGGGUUAAUACCCUGGGGUCAUGACGGUACCGUAAGAAUAAGCACCGGCUAACUACGUGCCAGCCGCCGCGGUAC